rnacentral:rRNA from 1 species
AUUGAACGCUGGCGGCAGGCCUAACACAUGCAAGUCGAACGCGUGGCGGACGGGUGAGUAAUGUCUGGGAAACUGCCCGAUGGAGGGGGAUAACUACUGGAAACGGUAGCUAAUACCGCAUACCAUCGGAUGUGCCCAGAUGGGAUCAGCUUGUAGGUGAGGUAACGGCUCACCUAGGCGCCGAUCCCUAGCUGGUCUGAGAGGAUGACCAGCCACAAUGGAAGUGAGACACGGUCCAGACUCCGACGAUAGUCAGCAUUGGAGCAGAUGGCACAAUGGGAGCAAGCCUGGUGCAGCCAUGCCGCGUGUAUAAAGAAGGCCUUCGGGUUGUAAAUUACUUUCAGCGGGGAGGCGUUACCCGCAGAAGAAGCACCGGCUAACUCCGUGCCAGCAGCCGCGGUAGUAC